AAGAAAGUAAGCAAGGGCGUAUGGGGGAUGCCUAGGCUCUCAGAGGCGAUGAAGGACGUGAUAAGCUGCGAAAAGCGGCGGGGAGUGGCAAAUACAUGCUGAUCCGCCGGUGUCCGAAUGGGGCAACCCAAUUAGUUGAAGACUAAUUACCCGACUUGUCGGGGGCAAACCCGGGGAACUGAAACAUCUAAGUACCCGGAGGAAGAGAAAAUAAUCAAUGAUUCCCGUAGUAGUGGCGAGCGAGGCGGGAAGAGCCCAAACCCAGUAGGUUACGGCCUGCUGGGGGUUGUAGGACUGGCAUAAUCAACAAGCCAUGAACAAGAACCGGUCUGGAAAGUCCGGCCAUAGAGGGUGAAAGUCCCGUAUUGGUAGUGUAAUGUUGAGGCUAGUAUCCUGAGUAGGGCGGGACCGGAGAAAUCCCGUCUGAAUCUGCCGGCACCAUCCGGUAAGGCUAAAUACUCCUGAGAGACCGAUAGUGAACCAGUACCGUGAGGGAAAGGUGAAAAGUACCGGGAAUACCGGGGUGAAAUAGAACCUGAAACCAUACGCUUACAAGCGGUCGGAGCCCUUUUGUGGGGUGACGGCGUGCCUUUUGCAUAAUGAGCCUACGAGUUAUGAUCACUGGCAAGGCAAAGUGACUAGAGUCAAGUAGCCGAAGCGAAAGCGAGUCUGAAUAGGGCGACUAAGUCAGUGGUUGUAGACGCGAAACCUGGUGAUCUACCCAUGGUCAGGUUGAAGCCGCGGUAACACGAGGUGGAGGACCGAACCAGUAAACGUUGAAAAGUUUUUGGAUGAACUGUGGGUAGGGGUGAAAGGCCAAUCAAACCAGGAAAUAGCUCGUACUCCCCGAAAUGCUUUUAGGAGCAGCGUUUUAGGAUGUCUUACUGAGGUAGAGCUACCAAUAGGACUAGGGGGUGUCACAACCUACCAAAUCCUGAUGAACUCCGAAUGCGGUAAGAUUACUAAGGCAGUGAGGGUUUGGGUGCUAAGGUCCAAAUCCAAAAGGGAAAGAACCCAGACCAUCCGCUAAGGUCCCUAAAUAUAGACUAAGUUGAACUAAGGCGGUUUCGUUGCAAUGACAGCCAGGAUGUUAGCUUGGAAGCAGCUAUUCAUUUAAAGAGUGCGUAACAGCUCACUGGUCGAGCGACGGGGCAUCGAUAAUAAACGGGCAUUAAGUCUAUUACCGAAGCGAUGGAUUGUAUGAUUAAGUUCAUACAGUGGUAGGGGAGCAUUCCAGCGAGACUGAAGCCUGGUGGUAAUGCCGGGUGGACUUUCUGGAAAAGCAAAUGUAGGCAUAAGUAACGAUAAGGCGGGUGAGAAACCCGCCCACCAAAAGACUAAGGUUUCCUGAUCAACGCUAAUCGGAUCAGGGUUAGUCGGGUCCUAAGGCGAACCCGAACGGGGUAGUUAAUGGACAACAGGUUAAUAUUCCUGUACUGGCUGGUAUUGCCAAAUGGGGACGGAGUAGCCAAGCAGCUACGGGCUGACGGAAUAGCCCGUUGAGCCUAGCCUUCGGGCGAAGCGAAGUUGUGCGGUGGCUUCCAAGAAAAGCCAUUGAAGCAUCAGAUACUAGCCACCCGUACCGUAAACCGACACAGGUAGUCGGGUAGAAUAUACUAAGGUGCUCGAGUGAGACGUGGCUAAGGAACUAGGCAAAAUAGUCCUGUAACUUCGGGAGAAGGGACGCUUCCUCAGCUAGUUUACUAGCAUGAGAAGCCGCAGUGAAUAGGCCCAGGCGACUGUUUAACAAAAACACAGGGCUUUGCAAAGUUGAAAGACGACGUAUAAGGCCUGACACCUGCCCGGUGCUGGAAGGUUAAGGGGGGAUGUUAGGGGUAACCCAAAGCAUUGAACCGAAGCCCCAGUAAACGGCGGCCGUAACUAUAACGGUCCUAAGGUAGCGAAAUUCCUUGUCGGGUAAGUUCCGACCUGCACGAAUGGUGCAACGAUCUGGGCACUGUCUCGGCCACGCGCUCGGUGAAAUUGUAGUAUCGGUGAAGAUGCCGAUUACCCGCCACGGGACGGAAAGACCCCAUGAACCUUUACUAUAGCUUCCCAUUGACAUUGGGUAAACGAUGUGUAGGAUAGGCGGGAGACUAGGAAGCGGCGUCGCUAGGCGUUGUGGAGUCGCCCUUGAAAUACCGCCCUUCGUUUAUCUAGUGCCUAACUGGCUGUGCCAGGACAGUGGGUGGUGGGUAGUUUGACUGGGGUGGUCGCCUCCUAAAAGGUAACGGAGGCUUCCCAAGGUUCCCUCAACACCGUUGGUAAUGGUGUGUGGAGUGCAAUAGCAUAAGGGAGCUUGACUGUGAGACCAACAAGUCGAUCAGGGACGAAAGUCGGGUAUAGUGAUCCGGUGGUUCCGCAUGGAAGGGCCAUCGCUCAAAGGAUAAAAGGUACUCUGGGGAUAACAGGCUGAUCUCCCCCAAGAGCUCACAUCGACGGGGAGGUUUGGCACCUCGAUGUCGGCUCGUCACAUCCUGGGGCUGGAGAAGGUCCCAAGGGUUGGGCUGUUCGCCCAUUAAAGUGGCACGCGAGCUGGGUUCAGAACGUCGUGAGACAGUUCGGUCCCUAUCUGUGGUGGGCGUAGGAAGCUUGACAGGAUCUGACUUUAGUACGAGAGGACCGAGUUGGACGAACCGCUGGUGUAUCGGUUGUGCCGCCAGGCGCACCGCCGAGUAGCUAUGUUCGGAACGGAUAAGCGCUGAAAGCAUCUAAGCGCGAAACCAGCCUGAAGAUGAGGCUUCCCUUGAGGGUCGUUCUAGACGAGGACGUAGAUAGGCGGCAGGUCUACAGCCAGAAAUGGUAGAGCUGAGCCGUACUAAUGACCCGAACGGCUUUUUUUC
rnacentral:rRNA from 1 species